UGACAGAUGGUCGAGAUUCAAGCGCAUUUGGCUCUCACCAAAAUGUUCCGGGUUCGAUCCCCGGUCAUGGCAG